rnacentral:rRNA from 1 species
AUUGAACGCUGGCGGCAUGCUUUACACAUGCAAGUCGAACGGUAACAGGUCUUCGGAUGCUGACGAGUGGCGAACGGGUGAGUAAUGCAUCGGAAUGUGCCCAGUCGUGGGGGAUAACGCAGCGAAAGCUGCGCUAAUACCGCAUACGAUCUAUGGAUGAAAGCGGGGGACCGUAAGGCCUCGCGCGAUUGGAGCGGCCGAUGUCAGAUUAGGUAGUUGGUGGGGUAAAGGCUCACCAAGCCAACGAUCUGUAGCUGGUCUGAGAGGACGACCAGCCACACUGGAACUGAGACACGGUCCAGACUCCUACGGGAGGCAGCAGUGGGGAAUUUUGGACAAUGGGCGCAAGCCUGAUCCAGCAAUGCCGCGUGCAGGAAGAAGGCCUUCGGGUUGUAAACUGCUUUUGUACGGAACGAAACGGUCUGGGAUAAUACCCUGGGCUAAUGACGGUACCGUAAGAAUAAGCACCGGCUAACUACGUGCCAGCAGCCGCGGUAAUACGUAGGGUGCAAGCGUUAAUCGGAAUUACUGGGCGUAAAGCGUGCGCAGGCGGUUUUGUAAGACAGGCGUGAAAUCCCCGGGCUCAACCUGGGAAUGGCGUUUGUGACUGCAAAGCUGGAGUGCGGCAGAGGGGGAUGGAAUUCCGCGUGUAGCAGUGAAAUGCGUAGAUAUGCGGAGGAACACCGAUGGCGAAGGCAAUCCCCUGGGCCUGCACUGACGCUCAUGCACGAAAGCGUGGGGAGCAAACAGGAUUAGAUACCCUGGUAGUCCACGCCCUAACGAUGUCACUCGGUGUUGGGUCUCUUCUGACUCAGUAACGAAGCUAACGCGUGAAGUUGACCGCCUGGGAGUACGGCCGCAGGGUGAAC